AUUGAACGCUGGCGGAAUGCUUUACACAUGCAAGUCGAGCGGCAGCGCGGGGGCAACCCUGGCGGCGAGCGGCGAACGGGUGAGUAACAUAUCGGAACGUACCCCGUCGUGGGGGAUAACACAGCGAAAGCUGUGCUAAUACCGCAUACGACCUGAGGGUGAAAGCGGGGGAUCGCAAGACCUCGCGCGAUGGGAGCGGCCGAUAUCGGAUUAGCUUGUUGGUGAGGUAAAGGCUCACCAAGGCGACGAUCCGUAGCUGGUCUGAGAGGACGACCAGCCACACUGGAACUGAGACACGGUCCAGACUCCUACGGGAGGCAGCAGUGGGGAAUUUUGGACAAUGGGGGGCAACCCUGAUCCAGCCAUUCCGCGUGAGUGAAGAAGGCC
rnacentral:rRNA from 1 species